GCAGGAGCCGAGGGGACAUCGCUUGGAGACGCUGGAGCGGAGAACACUACCGCGUCGUGUUCCCCUUGGAAACUUAACGAACGAGCACUUCGGUAAUUAACUCACUCCACUAAAAAGGUUUUACUCGAGCACACGUAAACGGCGCGUACCGGAGGCGGCACCGAAGAGCGAUCGCUGCGGCAAUGCUCGGACUCUGAGACGGGAGCGAAGUCCCAUAUUGCUCUCCCACCAGCGAACCCGGAGCAGGCAACAAAGCUACAGGGAAGGUAAAAUUCAAAAGCAUUUCGUUUCGCCGAGCGGCUCGCAGCCUGCACUUCAGCCGAGGGGGAGGAAACCCACCUCCAGCGGCGCGGAGCAGCAGCCAGCCUAAUUGCCGGAUUCCAGGCACGGAGCCCAGCGAGGGCAACAGGGAAAGCCCACAACUGCUGCCCGAGUCACUGUCCCGGUCACCAUCCCGAGUCACCGACCGAGAUGGGAGAGCAGCCGCCAGCCGUCUCCAGGGCGCUUCUCCCUAAAAAGCAGAGCGGGCUCUAAAACCGAAACAUCACGCAGCAGUUUUGUACUGGGUUUGGCAGAAAUCGCCCCGAAAUAAGGGAGAAGACCCAAGCGGGUGCUUCCCGGCCGUGCUCUGCCCUGCUCGGAAGGGCAGAAAUCUCUUUUCCCGGCGCAGUCCCCGGGGUGAGGCGCUGGGGCCGGGAGGAUGCUCUCCCCGAAGGAAAUGGGCGCUGGGAACUCGCUCGGUUCCAGCAAGAAAGGCCCAAAAGAACCAGAUCAAGAGAAGGAGGGGAUUGUGGCUGCAGCAGGGAGAAGCGCCUGGACAGCUCCAAAGGCGUUUUCCUUCUCAGGAACGCGGAGGGGGGAAUGCAGAGCUCUCCCAGGCCCGGGCAGCCGCGGGGAUGCCGAGGUCCCGCUAUGGGAACGGGGAGAUUGGCACCAGCUCGAGCAAGGAAACCCUAAUAGGCUAUUUCUGGACUACUGGCUCUUAACAAAUCUAUAGCACCUGAAGUGUUAGCACUCAAUUAGUGACAAGGUUUUAAAACCCAGCGUUUACCGGCGAGGUAUAAACAGAGUCCUGGGAGAUAGCCGGGAAUUAGGGCGGGAGGGGGCUCUGGACACCUUACCCGGGUGGCAGUCAGAGGAAAACUUUUCCAAAAGGCCCCUUUUCUCUCUCUCUAAACAGUCCGAGGUGUCGAAAGCUCAGGGGGGAGGGAGGAUAUGCUCUGCGGAGCUUCUUGAGGCUUUUUUGUUUGCUUGUUUGCCUGUUUGUUUUCAGUGAGAAAACUCUCUAAAUAUAUACGUGAAACGAAUUUCAUUUAGCAGUCCUGGAGAGAAGCGACGGGGCGGUGUGGAAGUCAGCCCCAGCCUGACAGGGGUUCGUGGGCGCUGGGAUCGGAUCGGGG
ensembl:lncRNA